CGUUUACUAACUAUGUAAAACAGUGCUUUCUUUGCAAGCAUGUACGUUGUUGAGUGAACUAUAUACAGCUUUAAUUAAUAACUGAGUAAGCCUGUUAAAAGGUCUUAAAGUAAGCCUGUUAAAUUCUUGUCAGACUUCCAUGUUUAUAAACAGUCGCAUGGUUACCAUCGGAAAAUAUCGCGAUGUUCAGGUAUAUUCCGUGAUAUUCCGCCAUAUUCCGUGAUAUUCCGUGAUAUUCCGGCAUUCCGGGUUUCACAACGCCCUGUUAAAAAGUGCUGUUUGUUGUUUUGACAGUGAUAUACUUGUUUACUUGGCUAUGGCUAUGCUUUAAUUCUUAUUUACACGAACGUAUAUUGAGA